CAUGGCUGACAGUGGGGAUCUCAUCAGUGCAGCAAGGGGAUGGAAGCAGCCUCUUGUACACAUUGGUCUCCCUGUUCCGUGUUUCUUCUAAGGCUGAGCAGAAACGUCUCAUGGUGCUGGUCCACCUGGCAGAUUCUGACCUCACCUGGCUCAGAGAAACUCUUGCCCAUAUUUCAAGCCUCUUCAGCCCACAGAUCUUGAAAGGGCAGUUGCUACUGAUCCAUGCUUCAUCCGAUGCCUACCCCACUGUGGAGAGCAUCAGGGAUGAGGCCUUUCAUGGCGAAUUCUACUCCAAGCAGAACGUAGAUCAUGCCUUCCUCAUGAGCUUUGCCACAAAGUUAUCUGAUUACUUCCUGUUAAUAGAGGACAAUGUCUUUUUUGCCCCCAACUUUGUCACCCACAUUCAUUCAAGGGUGACCACCAUGAAGUCCAACUCGUGGGUGCUAAUGGAGUUCUCCAAUAUGGGCUUCCUUGGCAAACUCUUCCACAGCAGGGACCUCCCACUCCUGGCCCAUUUCCUCCUUCUCUUCUACAAGGAGAAACCCCUUGACAGCCUGAUUUCUCAUUUCCAUACGCUCCUGGUCCAGGAAAGCCCAAUCCUCUGCAGACCUUUCCUAUUCUACCGCAGGGUCUCCUACACUGCCUUUGAUCACAAGCAGAAGGCCACAGCACUUCAGAAAAAGAAUGCCGAUGGUCCCAACAACCCGCCUGGAGCUGUCUUCACUGAUAUGCAGCUUUCCGAUGUGCAUUUCCCCUGGGAGGCCUACACUCUGGAUGAGUCAUUCUUUUGGACACACAACAUUAGUGUAGGAAACCACCUGACGGUGAUUCUGAACCAUCCAGCAAACCUGAGCAGGGUGCAAGUGAUGACGGGCUCCAUUGUGGAUGGGAGGUACGCCCUGGAGAAGGGGCAGGUGGAGCUGGGCUACCAACC
rnacentral:sRNA from 1 species